AGUAGGGCGGGACACGUGUUAUCCUGUCUGAAUAUGGGGGGACCAUCCUCCAAGGCUAAAUACUCCUGAUUGACCGAUAGUGAACCAGUACCGUGAGGGGAAAGGCGAAAAAGAACCCCGGCGAGGGGAGUGAAAAAAGAACCUGAAACCGUGUACGUACAAGCAGUAGGAGCCUCUUUAUGGGGUGACUGCGUACCUUUUGUAUAAUGGGUCAGCGACUUAUAUUCUGUAGCAAGGUUAACCGUAUAGGGGAGCCGUAGGGAAACCGAGUCUUAACUGG
rnacentral:rRNA from 1 species